GCGGACGUGGCGAAACUGGUAGACGCAAGGGACUUAAAAUCCCUCGGAGCAAUCUGUACGGGUUCGACCCCCGUCGUCCGCACCA
rnacentral:tRNA from 5 species